AGUGAACGCUGGCGGUAGGCCUAACACAUGCAAGUCGAACGGCAGCACAGUAAGAGCUUGCUCUUACGGGUGGCGAGUGGCGGGCGGGUGAGGAAUACAUCGGAAUCUACUUUUUCGUGGGGGAUAACGUAGGGAAACUUACGCUAAUACCGCAUACGACCUACGGGUGAAAGCAGGGGAUCUUCGGACCUUGCGCGAUUGAAUGAGCCGAUGUCGGAUUAGCUAGUUGGCGGGGUAAAGGCCCACCAAGGCGACGAUCCGUAGCUGGUCUGAGAGGAUGAUCAGCCACACUGGAACUGAGACACGGUCCAGACUCCUACGGGAGGCAGCAGUGGGGAAUAUUGGACAAUGGGCGCAAGCCUGAUCCAGCCAUACCGCGUGGGUGAAGAAGGCCUUCGGGUUGUAAAGCCCUUUUGUUGGGAAAGGAAAGCAGCAGGUUAAUACCCCGCUGUUCUGACGGUACCCAAAGAAUAAGCACCGGCUAACUUCGUG
rnacentral:rRNA from 1 species